rnacentral:rRNA from 1 species
GAUGAGCGCUGGCGGCGUGCCUAAUACAUGCAAGUCGAGCGAACAGACGAGGAGCUUGCUCCUCUGACGUUAGCGGCGGACGGGUGAGUAACACGUGGAUAACCUACCUAUAAGACUGGUAUAACUUCGGGAAACCGGAGCUAAUACCGGAUAAUAUAUUGAACCGCAUGGUUCAAUAGUGAAAGACGGUUUUGCUGUCACUUAUAGAUGGAUCCGCGCCGCAUUAGCUAGUUGGUAAGGUAACGGCUUACCAAGGCAACGAUGCGUAGCCGACCUGAGAGGGUGAUCGGCCACACUGGAACUGAGACACGGUCCAGACUCCUACGGGAGGCAGCAGUAGGGAAUCUUCCGCAAUGGGCGAAAGCUUGACGGAGCAACGCCGCGUGAGUGAUGAAGGUCUUCGGAUCGUAAAACUCUGUUAUUAGGGAAGAACAAAUGUGUAAGUAACUAUGCACGUCUUGACGGUACCUAAUCAGAAAGCCACGGCUAACUACGUG